UACGGAGGGUGCAAGCGUUAUCCGGAUUCACUGGGUUUAAAGGGUGCGUAGGUGGGCAGGUAAGUCAGUGGUGAAAUCUCCGGGCUUAACCCGGAAACUGCCAUUGAUACUAUUUGUCUUGAAUACCGUGGAGGUCAGCGGAAUAUGUCAUGUAGUGGUGAAAUGCUUAGAUAUGACAUAGAACACCAAUUGCGAAGGCAGCUGGCUACACGAAUAUUGACACUGAUGCACGAAAGCGUGGGGAUCAAACAGG
rnacentral:rRNA from 1 species